AAAGGAGCCUAAGCCGAUAAGGACACACAGGGCUUGCUGAGCCUUUGUCUCCCCAAGUCAGCACCCGAAGAACAAAACAAAGGUAACUGACUUUAGAAAUAAAGAGAACAUGAGCCAACUGGUAGCAGAGAAGAAUCAUGAAGAUACACUUGGAAGAGGUGAGGGAGAAAGCAGACACCGAGUCACUCGAUGCCAGAGCCCAGACCCAAACGGUUCUGCACACUGACUGGCAGCAUAGCCUUCACAGCCUCCACGCCUCUGAGAAAUCAAAAGCAAAUCAAAGCUUGCCCCCAU